rnacentral:tRNA from 1 species
CCCGUUGUAGCUCAAUGGCAGAGCGCCCGCCUGUAGAGCGGGAGGUUGGGUGUUCAACUCACCCCAACGGGA